GGAGUUAGCCGGUGCUUCUUCUGUGAGUGAUGUCCUUCCUGCCGGUUAUUGACCCGCAGGCCUUCUUCCUCACUGAAAGUGCUUUACAACCCGAAGGCCUUCUUCACACACGCGGCAUGGCUGGAUCAGGGUUGCCCCCAUUGUCCAAUAUUCCCCACUGCUGCCUCCCGUAGGAGUCUGGGCCGUGUCUCAGUCCCAGUGUGGCUGAUCAUCCUCUCAGACCAGCUACGGAUCGUCGCCUUGGUGAGCCGUUACCUCACCAACCAGCUAAUCCGACAUAGGCUCAUCCGAUAGCGCGAGGCCCGAAGGUCCCCCGCUUUCCCCCGUAGGGCGUAUGCGGUAUUAGCCUGGGUUUCCCCAGGUUAUCCCCCACUACCGGGCAGAUUCCUAUGCAUUACUCACCCGUCCGCCGCUCGCCACCAGGGAGCAAGCUCCCCGUGCUGCCGCUCGACUUGCAUGUGUUAGGACUGCCGCCAGCGUUCAAUCUGAGCCAGAAUCAAACUCUGA
rnacentral:rRNA from 1 species